rnacentral:tmRNA from 1 species
GGGGACGAAACAGGCUCGACACGCAUGGUAAAGACCUGCCUUUUGCCCGGCAUUGUACCGCCGUUAUCGGGCUAACUCACAAGUGCCAACGAUAACUCUGAGGUGCUCGCUGUCGCUGCAUAAGUGACAAGCGCGGUUCGGGAGGGCACCGGGCAACAGAAGCCCUCCCA